UGCACGUUUUUCUCUCUUCAUUUUUUUUUUCCUCUUUUUUUUCAUAGAAUUUCAAUGACCUCGCUUUGAAUCUAUGCUCAUGAGGAGCCAUCACCUUUUUGUCCGCCAUCAAACUCGCUCCACAGACACAUGCUGUAUUAGCUUUUCUUUUUUUUGGCACAAAUAUGCCAUGUUAGUCCAUAGGUUUUUUCAAAAGGAGAAUC
rnacentral:lncRNA from 1 species